rnacentral:lncRNA from 1 species
CCGAAUCAUAACAGGCAACUUGGUACUCCUAAUAUACACAUUAUCCUUCUAGAUAAAAAAAAAAGCAAGAAGAAGAGUGACUCCGAUUCUUCCCAUAUUUUAAGCAAACAUAUGUUUAUGAUAAAUUAUUCAAGCACAACACAUUUAAAAACCAAUCUACUUAACAAUCCAAAUAACUUAGUCCAGCAUUGAUAGAUAGGUAAAUUAUCUUUCGAAUGGAUCUUGUCUUGUGCAGACGACGACGAGUCAAGCAACCACCACCACCGCCACGGUUACUUCAUCGAUUCUCGUGCAGUUUCUACAUCGCUCGAGUGCUGAUUUGCCACUUGAUGAUCCUCACAGGUAGCUAGAGAUGAAGAGAUUUGAUUUGCAAGUCCGGUCGGAUUUAACUUGAUCCUUUUAUUCUCUGCAAAACCCUUAAUAAACUGAUUUUGACCCUUGAGACUCAAGCAUCCCGUAUCCUCAUUAGCAACGACGAGACUAGGGUUUUUUGGUAUAAUUUCUGAACUCUGAGUCUGACCCACGAGCAUGAAGCAUCCCGUAUCCUCAUCGAAGGAUCUUCUAACUAUAGCAAUGCGAUCAGAAUCCUUACCAAGCUCAGCCUUGUACAAGUCAUUGUACCUUAUGUAGAUAAUUGCAUUUUUGGCAUUGAGUGCGUCAUCUAUGGCCACUUUCACAAUCUCCAACUUGUUGGAGAGACCACAGUCCCUACCGGUGGUGGUGGCAACAGCAAGUUCCAAAUAUAGACGAAUCCAGUCAUUGUCUUGCAGCUCUGAUUCCUUCACCUUUGACCAAAAAGGCAAAACAUAUAUCACCACUACAUUGUAUGUUGAUCAAAUGAUGCCAAUUGUGUGUCUGAAUCUGAAUCUUACCAGGUAACAUUUUUCAAAAGGAUUCUCUGGCGGCCACUCAGGCAAGCUAGUACCCAUAUACAUGACUCUUUUGCUAUGGCUUGUUUCCCCUUAAUACAAAUAUUAUUAAAUCAGCAAUUAAGUUGAGAUAGAUGAUUUCGUUGUAUACAAAGGAAAAAUAAUUGAAAAGAUAUUUCACCUCGGAUUCUUGCAAUCUUGCACGUCAGAAUAAAUUUACCACCCUCUUCUUCUGAUACUCUAGUCUGAAAAGUUUGAAGCGAAGAGCCAGCAGCUAUUGCAUCCAAUGUUAUGUAGUAAGAGCCAACAGGAGAACCUAUUGAGAGAAUGUAUUUCUUUACGCGAAUGAGUUGAAACUUUGUACCCUGAAAUCAGGAAGAGAGAUAUUGAUUGUAGAAGCAUAGUAUACAGAGCAUGUGGAUAAUAAAUAAAAAAACAAAGAGUUUUAGACCUGCAGCAAAUUAUAACGAUGAAGGCCCAUCUUAGCAUACAGGAGGACUUUGCCAGGACAAGGAAACCAUUUAUUACAGAUCCUUUCCUGUAGUCCGAGCGUAAAAUCACAACCCUUGAGAUCGAACACCUAUUAGCAGACGCAAAUAAUCAGAGCUAACAAAUCACGAUUUUAAAGGAUCAAUCUCUUAAAAAUAAGGAAAACGAAAGACUUACACCGCAUUUCUCCAGUCGUUUACGAGAGGCGUCAAGCGCAUCACAAUAACUCUUACCAUCCCGAAAUUCAGAGAUCAUAUUAUCAAGCGAUUUAGGUUUAGGUUUGACGAUUUAGGGCGAUGAUGAUUUUUGGUCGAUUAGGUUCUCACUCGUCCCCUUAUCUAUCCGGCCGACUCAUUUAAUGGGCUUCAGUUGGGCCUUCACAACCCAAUAUCUCACUCAUUUUGAGUGUAAUUCAUGCUCUAAAACUAUGUCUAUCAGUGAACAAAGACGGGUUCAUCAAAAUAUAAUAUUAUUUUUUUUGUUUUUUUUUAAAUUCGAAAAUUAUUAUUUUGGACCAAUUAGGAUGUAUCACGUGUAAAAAGACUGUCUCUCCAGGUUCGUCGAGAAGAACCCGGAUCAUGAACCUUUACCAUUUUUCUUAUCUUUUUAUUGUAUUUCGUUUUAAAAUCUCUGCCACAAACUCUUCAAGAACUCCUGAUGGACAUGCUCUAAGUAUGAUGAUGCAGCAUAAUAGAUAAUAUAGUAGAUAAUGGUGUUUAGGUUUUGACCACAUAUAUUGAGUUUAGGAACCUUUUUAAUGCCAACUCUUCCAAGAUGAACACGUAUUUUUAGUAUAUUAACUACACAAAAUAUUUUUAUCUUCAUUUUCAUUUAUAAGAUUAGUGUAUUAAAGUUUCUUGUCGAAUUCCUCAAUCUUGAGUUCAUCUUUUUGUUACCGUCUUAGAUCGCUUAUAGUAUAGGCUUUAUAAUAGACCCAAGAGAUCGCUUAUAAUAUAGGCUUUAUAAUAGACCCAUAUACAUAAUGGACUCUUCAACAGGCCUUAAACCUCACUGGAUGCGAGCAUCAUAUCACUCUUUGUUUUUGUUUUCCUGUAUGAUUCGAUCAUUUCACAGUCAUCGUAUUGUUCAGUUUUGUUGGGUGAAAAUUCCCACACUGAUUUUAUUAAUAUUUUUUGAUGAUUUGAAUUAAUCAAGAGUGUCCUAAUUACUUGAGAGAGCUAAUAAAGAAAAAGACAUUGACAGACAAAUCAUUUGGGAUCGGUGUUGUUCUUGCGUUUCCACAUGACCAGAACAUAAAGGCAAUCUUAGAAGAGAAGGUCGAUGUGUUGCAGCUUUAUUGGGGUGAAUGUUCAAAGGAGCUUGGAAUCAUCUAUGAAUCAAGUGAAGGUGCAGCAGCGAUUCCAGCAGAUCCAAGUUUAAGGAUCUUGAGGAGUGUUCCAUAACAAGGGUUUAGCAAUUCGGGGUCUAAAGACAGACAUAAAGAAGAAGCGUGAGAGAAUUAUGGCAGUGUCACUUUAUAGCCUUAAAACCGUGACUUAACAUAGAAGAUGAUGCAAGGAGACACAGGAAUGUGAUUCACCUCUUACCAUACGUCCAUAACAGGCAACUUAGUACUCCUACUAUACACAUUAUCCUUCUAGAUAAAAAAAAAAAGCAAGAAGAAGAGUGACUCCGAUUCUUCCCAUAUUUUAAGCAAACAUAUGUUUAUGAUUAAUUAUUCAAGCACAACACAUUUAAAAACCAAUCUACUUAACAAUCCAAAUAACUUAGUCCAGCAUUGAUAGAUAGGUAAAUUAUCUUUCGAAUGGAUCUUGUCUUGUGCAGACGACGACGAGUCAAGCAACCACCACCACCGCCACGGUUACUUCAUCGAUUCUCAUGCAGUUUCUACAUCGCUCGAGUGCUGAUUUGCCACUUGAUGAUCCUCACAGGUAGCUAGAGAUGAAGAGAUUUGAUUUGCAAGUCCGGUCGGAUUUAACUUGAUCCUUUUAUUCUCUGCAAAACCCUUAAUAAACUGAUUUUGACCCUUGAGACUCAAGCAUCCCGUAUCCUCAUUAGCAACGACGAGACUAGGGUUUUUUGGUAUAAUUUCUGAACUCUGAGUCUGACCCACGAGCAUGAAGCAUCCCGUAUCCUCAUCGAAGGAUCUUCUAACUAUAGCAAUGCGAUCAGAAUCCUUACCAAGCUCAGCCUUGUACAAGUCAUUGUACCUUAUGUAGAUAAUUGCAUUUUUGGCAUUGAGUGCGUCAUCUAUGGCCACUUUCACAAUCUCCAACUUGUUGGAGAGACCACAGUCCCUACCGGUGGUGGUGGCAACAGCAAGUUCCAAAUAUAGACGAAUCCAGUCAUUGUCUUGCAGCUC